rnacentral:rRNA from 1 species
ACAAUAGGUUGCCUAAGCCGCGAGGCGGAGCCAAUCCUAAAAAGCAGGCCUCAGUUCAGAUUGCAGUCUGCAACUCGACUGCAUGAAGUUGGAGUUGCUAGUAAACGCAGGUCAGCUAUACUGCGUUGAAUACGUUCCCGGGGAUU